rnacentral:rRNA from 1 species
UACGAAGGUGGCAAGCGUUGUUCGGAAUUACUGGGCGUAAAGGGCUCGUAGGCGGCCAACUAAGUCAGACGUGAAAUCCCUCGGCUUAACCGGGGAACUGCGUCUGAUACUGGAUGGCUUGAGUGUGGGAGAGGGAUGCGGAAUUCCAGGUGUAGCGGUGAAAUGCGUAGAUAUCUGGAGGAACACCGGUGGCGAAGGCGGCAUCCUGGACCAUUACUGACGCUGAGGAGCGAAAGCCAGGGGAGCAAACGGG